UACGUAGGCAGCAAGCGUUGUUCGGAGUUACUGGGCGUAAAGAGUGCGUAGGCGGUCUGGCAAGUUCGGUGUGAAAUCUCCCGGCUUAACUGGGAGGGUGCGCCGAAGACUGUUGGGCUGGAGUAUGGGAGAGGCAGGCGGAAUUCCUGGUGUAGCGGUGAAAUGCGUAGAUAUCAGGAGGAACACCGGUGGUGUAGGCGGCUUGCUGGACCAUAACUGACGCUGAGGCACGAAAGCGUGGGGAGCAAACAGGAUUAGAUACCCUGGUAGUCCACGCCCUAAACGAUGCAGACUUGGUGUGGGCCAUUCAUUUGGUCUGUGCCGGAGCUAACGCGUUAAGUCUGCCGCCUGGGGAGUACGGUCGCAAGGCUGAA
rnacentral:rRNA from 1 species